GAAGGAUGGGGAGGAGUCAGCUGUUGGCAUAUGCCACCCCACCCCAGGAUAAGUACCACCCUUCACUGCCCACCCAAACCUGGUCUCGGAUAUCAUCCCGCAGCUCCACCAGGAUCUGGUUGAAGAGGAAACUCAGAAGGUCCUCCCUGCUCACCUGCAUCCUCAAGUAAGCCUUCUGUCCAGUCCUAAUCUCCAGCCCAUCAACCUCUGCUGGAGGAAUGGGGCCCAGUGCUGGAAGGCCAGUAUGUUGGUCUCCCAACUUGCAGUCCACAUAGAGCUGCAGGGCAGGGCUGGGUCGGGACGGGCCUCGGAGUCGCAGGAGAGCCGUGUGUGUGCGCCCAUCAGCCAGGCCUGCUUGCUGUAGGUUCACAGCGUGGACUUUGCCAUCCUCCCGCUGGUACCGCACCAGUACUGCCCAGAAGGGGAGGUCAGUAUGGGUACCGUCCCCCAUCCCAUUUCCCAGUUGAGCCUUGGAUCAACUCUUCUGGAUACCACAUCUCUAGGGCUACCAUCCCUAAUCAGCUAUGUAUCUCUCAACACCUCAUACAUAAUAGGUACGCAAUAAUUGUUUUUCAAAUUGGUUU